GAACAAACAAAACAAGAGCAAAAAAAAGGACCAUUUCGGGUUUGGCCAUAGAAAAUUCAACCCUCCAAAUCUUGCUUCAAAAAUUAUUUUCUUGUGGUAUUCCUACUAAUUCAAGGGUCCUUUACAACUUGGUGUAGUUGUUUUGGAAGAAGGAACACUUAUUUCUUCAAGUUGACAACUUGUUCAAGUGAAGAAGUUUGUAGAAAAAGAUUUCGGGCGAAACGGGAAUUGAAUUCGAAAAGGCGUAAAGACCAUAUAAGGUACAGACGACAGGUUCGCUGAUCCAUCUGUUUAGGAUCCCACUUCUGCUAUUUUGGGGCGCUCUCUUCUUCAGAGCCCACUUUUUGGUACAGUCUGUCACUGCUAUC